rnacentral:ribozyme from 11 species
CAAAAAGAAACACACAAGAAAGGAAGAAAUGGAAAAGAGGAAGAGAAAAAGAGCAGGCAGAAUAAGGUGAUGUGUUGACGUCGUGGUUUCUUCUCGCUUCCUUUCCCUCUCC